rnacentral:ncRNA from 1 species
UAAAAGUUUGAUUCUUGCUUUUUGAUUUAUUAUAUUAUAAUUUUAUAUGUAAAUAUUUGUUUGUUUUGUUUAUUAUCUAAAUGAUAAUAAAUUAUAUUUUGUUCGCAGUAUUUAAUAUUAUAUAUUUAUGAAAAUAAGAUUUAGUUAAUAAUAUAAUUCUGACUAAUUUUGUGCCAGCAGUCGCGGUUAAACCUAAAGGGUAAAUAAAUCUUUUUGGUUUGUAUUAUUUUUUUAAUAUUUAAUUAAUUUUAUAUUUUGUUAGGUGGAAUUUCAAUUUGUUAUAUAUAUUUUGGUUUAUUAUAAUAUACGAAAAUUAAUUUUUAAACUAGGAUUAGAUACCCUAUUAUUUUAAUUGUAAAUUUAUAACCUUAAUACUAAUAGUUAUGAUCUUUAAAUUUAAAGAAUUUGGCGGUAACUUAAUCUUCCCAGAGGAACCUGUUCUAUAAUUGAUGAUCCACGAUAAAUUUUACUUUAUUUUUAUUUGUAUACCUCUGUCGUUGAGUGUUUUAUAAGAAUUAAUUCUCUAUAAUCUUUAUUAGGUAUAAUGUCAGGUCAAGGUGCAGUUAUAAUAAAGGAGAAAUGGGUUACAUUUAAUUUUAUUAAUGAAUUACUUUAUGGAAAUAAGUUAUGAAAUUGGAUUUGGAAGUAAUAUUUUUUAAAAUAAAAUUAUGAAUUUAGCUCUAAGUUAUGUACACAUCGCCCGUCGCUCUCGUUACUAAGGUGAGAUAAGUCGUAACAAAGUAGGCUUACCGGAAGGUGAGCCUGGUCAUUU